rnacentral:rRNA from 1 species
UACAGAGGUCUCAAGCGUUGUUCGGAUUCAUUGGGCGUAAAGGGUGCGUAGGUGGCGUCGUAAGUCAGGUGUGAAAUUUCGGAGCUUAACUCCGAAACUGCAUUUGAUACUACGGUGCUUGAGGACUGGAGAGGAGACUGGAAUUUACGGUGUAGCAGUGAAAUGCGUAGAUAUCGUAAGGAAGACCAGUGGCGAAGGCGGGUCUCUGGACAGUUCCUGACGCUGAGGCACGAAGGUCAGGGGAGCAAACGGG